rnacentral:rRNA from 1 species
AAUGAACGCUGGCGGCGCGCCUAAUACAUGCAAGUCGAGCGAGAAGACGUAGCAAUACGUUUGUAAAGCGGCGAACGGGUGAGGAAUACAUGGGUAACCUACCCUCGAGUGGGGAAUAACUAGCCGAAAGGUUAGCUAAUACCGCGUACGCUCCUUGGACUUCGGUUCAGGGAGGAAAGCGAUACCGUGGGUAUCGCGCUCUUGGUUGGGCUCAUGUCCUAUCAGCUUGUUGGUGAGGAACGGCUCACCAAGGCUUCGACGGGUAGCUGGUCUGAGAGGACGAUCAGCCACACUGGCACUGCGACACGGGCCAGACUCCUACGGGAGGCAGCAGUAAGGAAUAUUGCGCAAUGGGCGAAAGCCUGACGCAGCGACGCCGCGUGGGGGAGUGAAGGGUCUUCGG